UAAAAAUGUCGUAUGUUUCUUUUGUGUUUCUUUCGUAUGGGUUGAUUAUGGAUGAAUGGGGCUUGACUUGCUUGCAUGUGUUUCCAUGACAUCAAAGAGUAUCUAUCAAAUGAUGCUACUUGUUUGAAGUUUAAACAUUGGCUCACAAAACUAAUAUCAAGAAAAAAGCAUUGGUGAAAAUCUUUUGACCUCUUCCUUCUAGGGCUCUCUUGCUCUCAUAUAUGCAGGAAAUACGACACAGCUACACCGAUUUCAGCAGCUUUUGUACCAUUAACACCUUUUCUUUUCUUUUUAUUAGCGAAAAAAUAAGUUUCCAUAUCAUUAGGAUAACGAUACAAAGAAACCCUAAAACAAGCUCAACCUAUCACUACAUAUCAGCUCACAUUUUUUUUUA